UUCAUGUGGCAUGUCUGUUUCGUGGCAGUGUCAUGUCACUCUUGUGUGGAAAACUUCAAGUAAAGCGUUACCACAUA